rnacentral:rRNA from 1 species
UAUGGAGGGUGCGAGCGUUAAUCGGAAUUACUGGGCGUAAAGCGCGCGUAGGCGGCUUUGCAAGUCGAUUGUGAAAUCCCCAGGCUUAACCUGGGAACUGCAUUCGAGACUGCAUAGCUAGAGUAUGGGAGAGGGAAGUGGAAUUUCAGGUGUAGCGGUGAAAUGCGUAGAUAUCUGAAGGAACAUCAGUGGCGAAAGCGA